rnacentral:rRNA from 1 species
GAUGAACGCUGGCGGCGUGCCUAAUACAUGCAAGUCGAGCGAACGGACGAGAAGCUUGCUUCUCUGAUGUUAGCGGCGGACGGGUGAGUAACACGUGGAUACCCUACCUAUAAGACUGGGAUAACUUCGGGAAACCGGAGCUAAUACCGGAUAAUAUUUUGAACCGCAUGGUUCAAAAGUGAAAGACGGUCUUGCUGUCACUUAUAGAUGGAUCCGCGCUGCAUUAGCUAGUUGGUAAGGUAACGGCUUACCAAGGCAACGAUGCAUAGCCGACCUGAGAGGGGGAUCGGCCACACUGGAACUGAGACACGGUCCAGACUCCUACGGGAGGCAGCAGUCGGGAACCUUCCGCAAUGGGCGAAAGCCUGACGGAGCAACGCCGCGCGAGUGAUGAAGGUCUUCGGAUCGUAAAACUCUGUUAUUAGGGAAGAACAUAUGUGUAAGUAACUGUGCACAUCUUGACGGUACCUAAUCAGAAAGCCACGGCUAACUACGUG